GAAACCGGUUUUAACCCUAUAACAGAAGUUCGCAAAGAGCCACAUUGUGAAUCAUAUUCAGUAAGCAUUUGCAACAAAAAUAUUGAUAGAAUCUGUGCAAGCAAUGGCCAGACUUAUUACAAUAUAUGUUGGUUCUGCAGUGCAAAGCGGAUCUAUAAUUAGCACCUCUCCACUCUCACCAGUGAUUUUUGAAUGCAUCCGCUGAGAUCAACGUGUCCCAAACCUUUGGCUAAGGGCAGAUCUAUUGAGAAAUAGGAGAAAUAUUUCUUAUGAGAUGCUUUGUGACCUCCACGAAGGACAGAAAAUAUCGCUCUCCUAUCUGCCCUUGGGCAGCCCAUUUAUCCCUUGCAUCUCCACACCAACAAACCAACCAAGGAAACUCUUGAGCUGCAUGUACUUGACUGAGAAGAAAGGGUGAAUAAAACACACAGUGUCUGGAGCUGUUGUCCACACACUACACUGCGCUCCACCUCCAGUUUUCUUCCACAGACUUGCUACAAUGCCUUUCUUCUCACCAUGGAUCACAGC